UGGUGGAGCCNUGUGGUUUAAUUCGAUGCAACGCGAAGAACCUUACCUACUCUUGACAUCCAGAGAACUUAGCAGAGAUGCUUUGGUGCCUUCGGGAACUCUGAGACAGGUGCUGCAUGGCUGUCGUCAGCUCGUGUUGUGAAAUGUUGGGUUAAGUCCCGCAACGAGCGCAACCCUUAUCCUUUGUUGCCAGCACGUAAUGGUGGGAACUCAAAGGAGACUGCCGGUGAUAAACCGGAGGAAGGUGGGGAUGACGUCAAGUCAUCAUGGCCCUUACGAGUAGGGCUACACACGUGCUACAAUGGCGUAUACAAAGGGAAGCGACCUCGCGAGAGCAAGCGGAACUCACAAAGUACGUCGUAGUCCGGAUNGGAGUCUGCAACUCGACUCCANGAAGUNGGANNCGCU
rnacentral:rRNA from 1 species